AUUGAACGCUGGCGGCAGGCCUAACACAUGCAAGUCGAACGAGUGGCGGACGGGUGAGUAAUGUCUGGGAAACUGCCUGAUGGAGGGGGAUAACUACUGGAAACGGUAGCUAAUACCGCAUACCAUCAGAUGUGCCCAGAUGGGAUUAGCUUGUUGGUGGGGUAACGGCUCACCAAGGCGACGAUCCCUAGCUGGUCUGAGAGGAUGACCAGCCAACCUGGAACUGGGACACGGUCCAGACGCCUACGGGAAGCAGCAGUGGGGAAUAUUGGACAAUGGGGGCAAGCCUUAUGGAGCCAUGCCGCGUGUAUGAAGAAGGCCUUCGGGUUUGAAAGGACUUUCAGCGGGGAGGCGUUACCCGCAGAAGAAGGAACGGCUAACUCCGGUCCAGCCGCCGCGGUAAUUC
rnacentral:rRNA from 1 species